rnacentral:rRNA from 1 species
UGGGGAAUUUUGGACAAUGGGCGAAAGCCUGAUCCAGCAAUGCCGCGUGUGUGAAGAAGGCCUUCGGGUUGUAAAGCACUUUUGUCCGGAAAGAAAUCCUUGGCUCUAAUACAGUCGGGGGAUGACGGUACCGGAAGAAUAAGCACCGGCUAACUACGUGCCAGCAGCCGCGGUAAUACGUAGGGUGCAAGCGUUAAUCGGAAUUACUGGGCGUAAAGCGUGCGCAGGCGGUUUGCUAAGACCGAUGUGAAAUCCCCGGGCUCAACCUGGGAACUGCAUUGGUGACUGGCAGGCUAGAGUAUGGCAGAGGGGGGUAGAAUUCCACGUGUAGCAGUGAAAUGCGUAGAGAUGUGGAGGAAUACCGAUGGCGAGGGCAGCCCCCUGGGCCAAUACUGACGCUCAUGCACGAAAGCGUGGGGAGCAAACAGGAUUAGAUACCCUGGUAGUCCACGCCCUAAACGAUGUCAACUAGUUGUUGGGGAUUCAUUUCCUAGUAACGUAGCUAACGCGUGAAGUUGACCGCCUGGGGAGUACGGUCGCAAGAUUAAAACUCAAA